AGCCAUAGGGCAGCAUCCUGCAGCAAGCAGAUCAUCAACAGGAGAUGCAAUCGUGUCACAGCCAACACGUGAUUUAAAAGUUUGCACUUCAGCAACAAUGCCCCCAAUUCAUCAAUCGCAAAUCCGCACUUAUAAAAGCAGAACGACCUGUAUCAGCUUUGCUGAUGUCUCUGGUUGGAGCAACAGAGUUACGUAGGAACAAAACCCAAGGCAGCUUUGUAGUUUGGCUAAAUUUUUAAUUCUCCAGUUGUGAUACAUUGAAGCAUUUUAUGGUGACUCUGGGCCAGUCUGAGCAGCAAAUCACAAAGCAAUUCGGAU